rnacentral:rRNA from 1 species
UUAAAUUGAAGAGUUUGAUCAUGGCUCAGAUUGAACGCUGGCGGCAGGCCUAACACAUGCAAGUCGAACGGUAACAGGAAGAGCUUGCUUCUUUGCUGACGAGUGGCGGACGGGUGAGUAAUGUCUGGGAAACUGCCUGAUGGAGGGGGAUAACUACUGGAAACGGUAGCUAAUACCGCAUAACGUCGCAAGACCAAAGAGGGGGACCUUCGGGCCUCUUGCCAUCGGAUGUGCCCAGAUGGGAUUAGCUUGUUGGUGGGGUAACGGCUCACCAAGGCGACGAUCCCUAGCUGGUCUGAGAGGAUGACCAGCCACACUGGAACUGAGACACGGUCCAGACUCCUACGGGAGGCAGCAGUGGGGAAUAUUGCACAAUGGGCGCAAGCCUGAUGCAGCCAUGCCGCGUGUAUGAAGAAGGCCUUCGGGUUGUAAAGUACUUUCAGCGGGGAGGAAGGGAGUAAAGUUAAUACCUUUGCUCAUUGACGUUACCCGCAGAAGAAGCACCGGCUAACUCCGUGCCAGCAGCCGCGGUAAUACGGAGGGUGCAAGCGUUAAUCGGAAUUACUGGGCGUAAAGCGCACGCAGGCGGUUUGUUAAGUCAGAUGUGAAAUCCCCGGGCUCAACCUGGGAACUGCAUCUGAUACUGGCAAGCUUGAGUCUCGUAGAGGGGGGUAGAAUUCCAGGUGUAGCGGUGAAAUGCGUAGAGAUCUGGAGGAAUACCGGUGGCGAAGGCGGCCCCCUGGACGAAGACUGACGCUCAGGUGCGAAAGCGUGGGGAGCAAACAGGAUUAGAUACCCUGGUAGUCCACGCCGUAAACGAUGUCGACUUGGAGGUUGUGCCCUUGAGGCGUGGCUUCCGGAGCUAACGCGUUAAGUCGACCGCCUGGGGAGUACGGCCGCAAGGUUAAAACUCAAAUGAAUUGACGGGGGCCCGCACAAGCGGUGGAGCAUGUGGUUUAAUUCGAUGCAACGCGAAGAACCUUACCUGGUCUUGACAUCCACGGAAGUUUUCAGAGAUGAGAAUGUGCCUUCGGGAACCGUGAGACAGGUGCUGCAUGGCUGUCGUCAGCUCGUGUUGUGAAAUGUUGGGUUAAGUCCCGCAACGAGCGCAACCCUUAUCCUUUGUUGCCAGCGGUCCGGCCGGGAACUCAAAGGAGACUGCCAGUGAUAAACUGGAGGAAGGUGGGGAUGACGUCAAGUCAUCAUGGCCCUUACGACCAGGGCUACACACGUGCUACAAUGGCGCAUACAAAGAGAAGCGACCUCGCGAGAGCAAGCGGACCUCAUAAAGUGCGUCGUAGUCCGGAUUGGAGUCUGCAACUCGACUCCAUGAAGUCGGAAUCGCUAGUAAUCGUGGAUCAGAAUGCCACGGUGAAUACGUUCCCGGGCCUUGUACACACCGCCCGUCACACCAUGGGAGUGGGUUGCAAAAGAAGUAGGUAGCUUAACCUUCGGGAGGGCGCUUACCACUUUGUGAUUCAUGACUGGGGUGAAGUCGUAACAAGGUAACCGUAGGGGAACCUGCGGUUGGAUCACCUCCUUACCUUAAAGAAGC